rnacentral:rRNA from 1 species
UACCUUUUGGUUCGGAACAACACAGGGAAACUUGUGCUAAUACCGGAUAAGCCCUUACGGGGAAAGAUUUAUCGCCGAAAGAUCGGCCCGCGUCUGAUUAGCUAGUUGGUGAGGUAACGGCUCACCAAGGCGACGAUCAGUAGCUGGUCUGAGAGGAUGAUCAGCCACAUUGGGACUGAGACACGGCCCAAACUCCUACGGGAGGCAGCAGUGGGGAAUAUUGGACAAUGGGCGCAAGCCUGAUCCAGCCAUGCCGCGUGAUGUGAGUAAGGCCCUAGGGUUGUAAAGCUCUUUUGUGCGGGAAGAUAAUGAGC